rnacentral:tRNA from 1 species
GGGGAUGUAGCUCAUUGGUAGAGCGCUUGGCUAACACAUACGAGGCCCUGGAUUCAAUUCCCUGUCCCUA